GGGGCCUUAGCUCAGCUGGGAGAGCGCCUGCUUUGCACGCAGGAGGUCAGCGGUUCGAUCCCCUAGGCUCCA
rnacentral:tRNA from 1 species